rnacentral:rRNA from 1 species
AGUUCGGAUUGAAGGCUGAAAUUCGCCUUCAGGAAGCCGGAAUUGCUAGUAAUGGCAGGUCAGCAUACUGCCGUGAAUACGUUCCCGGGCCUUGUACACACCGCCCGUCACACCAUGAGAGUUGGGAAUACCCGAAGCCUGUGAGCUAACUAUACGAGGCAGCAGUCGAAGGUAGAAUCAAUGAUUGGGGUGAAGUCGUAACAAGGUACC